UCAAAGCCCUCGUCGAAGCCCUCGUCGAAGCCCUCGUCAAACCCCUCAUCAAACCCCUCGUCAAAGUGUAAAGAAGACAUUUACACCUGCCUUUACUUCAGAUGUGUGUUCAAGUGAAGCUGAAUUUAUCGAAAUUCUAGAAAAGCUGAAAAGAUUCAGCAGUUCCCGAGCUACACCAAAUAGUUUGGAAAAACUGGAAGAGAUGGCUGGC